GCGGUCGUCGUCUAGCCUGGUCUAGGACAUCACCCUGCCACGGUGGUAACCCGGGUUCAAAUCCCGGCGACCGCA
rnacentral:tRNA from 8 species